rnacentral:rRNA from 1 species
AUUGAACGCUGGCGGCAGGCCUAACACAUGCAAGUCGAACGGUAACAGGAAGAAGCUUGCUUCUUUGCUGACGAGUGGCGGACGGGUGAGUAAUGUCUGGGUAACUGCCUGAUGGAGGGGGAUAACUACUGGAAACGGUAGCUAAUACCGCAUAACGUCGCAAGACCAAAGAGGGGGACCUUCGGGCCUCUUGCCAUCGGAUGUGCCCAGAUGGGAUUAGCUAGUAGGUGGGGUAACGGCUCACCUAGGCGACGAUCCCUAGCUGGUCUGAGAGGAUGACCAGCCACACUGGAACUGAGACACGGUCCAGACUCCUACGGGAGGCAGCAGUGGGGAAUAUUGCACAAUGGGCGCAAGCCUGAUGCAGCCAUGCCGCGUGUAUGAAGAAGGCCUUCGGGUUGUAAAGUACUUUCAGCGGGGAGGAAGGGAGUAAAGUUAAUACCUUUGCUCAUUGACGUUACCCGCAGAAGAAGCACCGGCUAACUCCGUG